ensembl:lncRNA
UGGGUUUUAGUCUCCUAAUGAAUUGAGUUCUGAUGCUUCCGACUCAGGAAGGGGCUGGUAGGUUGACUGAGGAGUAAGCAAACAUGAGCGUGAAAGGGGCAAGAUCCUGGUGGUCCAGUGCUCAUCAGUCUCCUCCGCCAAACUUGAACCCUGUCUGCUCUGGGAAGUCUCAGUGAGUAUUCUCUUGAGCAAACCCUUUUCCCCUUCCAGCCGUGGUUCCUCAUAUUUAGGACCAGGGCCUUGGACUAGAUUGUACUCAAAGUCCCUCCCUGGAAGAUUUGUGUCUUCAGGCUUCAGCUGGUUAUCUCCUAUUGCUCUGUCUUCAAGGUCUCCUUUCCUACGACCAGAAUUGGCAGAUGCACUUUCUAAAGCACAAGCGAUCCUUUGCAUCCAUGCUUUACCCUAUGAAGUAAGUUUCUAAAGAAGUCUUCGUCUGUCUGACUUUAUACUGAUUUUGGACCUAUGGUGAGGAGCAAAAGGCAUAGCCAAAUCUAGGGGUUUAAAUGACCUCACUUCCAUCUCUUAGUUCUGCUUUCCUGUGUUGAUCUCCCCAAGGGGCAGCAAAAAGAGCCAAGGGCCUCACAGAGAGACAGGGCAACACUUUCUCCCGCCAUUCCAGUGAAAGCACAGAAAGGACACUGACUCCUCUGCUUAGGUCACAUACUCAUCUCUGGACUAAGCACUGUGUCUCUUAGGAGGAUGGCAUACACUGGCCAUCAUGAGCAACGGGACCAUCUUGAGGACAAUGCAGGGCCGUGGGACUGAUGGCCCUUCUAGAAUUACCUGGAGUGGGGAGGAGCAGUUUGCAAAACACUAGAUGUUUACCACUCGUGUAGACUGCACACAUCAUCCUGAUAUAUUAGAAGCUCCCUCGGCCCCACGCUGUUGUCAUGGGAUCCAAGACUGAGAAGGAGGCAGACAGUCCUGGACUUCUGGCAGCUACGAGUUGAAAAGUUGACACAGCCCACUGCCUCCACCCCCAACCUGUACAGUUUGCCUCGAUUGGAGGGAAACUCUGUCAUAUAUUCAAAUUGCAUCAUUAGUUACUGGCCCAGGACCUCUUGCAGAAACUUCUUUAGAAACUAGGAUGUACUCUUAAAUGCUGAUGGACUUGCAGGGUCCUGGCUCACCAGUGGACCCCCAGCCUUUGCUGCUCUUUUCUUGGGUGCAUUCUGGUGAUAGGAGGCCAGGGCCAGGGCAGAGGAGGGGGCUUUGAGGGGUUCUUACCAGCUACUGACAGCAUUCCCACUGUCACAAGUAUUCUGUAGGUUACAAACACCUAGAGAAUUGCCCAGUGACUCGGGAAUGGAAACUGCUACUUUUGCUUUCAAGCAUAAAGGGUGAAAUGUUCAUGACAGAGCAAGGGGAGGCAAUGGGUGAAAUGCUAAAAUAUGAUCCCUCUACUGGUCAGGCUUUAGGGAAGAAACCCAAGGUUUUGGAGAGGCCCCAACAGGCACACCUAUCUGAAUUCCCCAGGGGAGAAGUUGAUAGCCCGUAUGUCCACGUGAAUGAGAAAAAGGCACCCCCUGUAGGUAGAAGCUUUUAGGGCACACCCACUCCUGAGGCUGAGGCCCAUUUAGGGCACAAACACAACCUUACAGCGCGGGGGCCCUGUUUCUCACCAGACUGUGAAGUUCUGUGGAACAGAUGCUGUUUCUUCGGUUCUCUGUCAUGUACCCAAUGAACUUCAGUGUACCUGGAACAUGACAGGAUGCCAAUACAAUCCUGUUGAGUGAAUGAACCUUGUGUCAUACUUUGAGAGCAGAAGGAAAACAGCUGUCUUUCUGUGCAGCUGGAUUUCACUGUCACGUGUGUUGUCUGGUGAGGCCGCACCUUUGGCAUUUGGAAACACUUUGAUACACGUCCUACUGCCAUUGUUUAUGGGCAAAGUAUCUCUUACGGAUCAGAAUUAGUGGAACAUAAACAUGUUAAUACUUUCCCACAUGAUGUUCCAGAUAAUCUUUUCCCAGAUAACGUUCCAGAUUAUCAGUCUUUGCUAAUAAACCAGGUGAUUAGGGCUACUGGGCUGUUCCAUAUCUUUUCCAUGAAGGGUCUGUUUUGGGAGGUUUACUAUCUUUGGCCACCAGAUGGCAGCCUUUGAGCAAUAAAUUCUUUAUCUUUUAUAAUUCAAAGCUUUUUGAAGAAGUUUUAUAUAAUUCUUUUAUGUUUCAGAAUCAGUGUUUCAAAAUAAAAUAUAAGAGUUUUUACAAAUAAA